ensembl:misc_RNA Y_RNA Y RNA
GGCUGGUCCGAUGUUAGUGGGUUAUCAGAACUUAUUAACAUUAGUGUCACUGAAGCUGGUAUAUAAUCCCCCACUGCUAAAUCUGACUGGCUUUAC